AUGGAGCCCGCGACGUACGCCUCUUUCCCGCUCGCGCAAGAUCAAGAAGCGUUGUGGGGGCCGCCGCAGACUGUACACCUGGGCCAGGCGCCACGGCGCGGGGGUGACUGGCGCGCCUGGGCACGCCGCGCGUACACGGUGAUCGCCCUGCUCGCCUUCACCGCCGGCUUCGCGUGGGCGGUGCGCCGGACGCGCCGCAGCCCGUGCGACCUCGCGUUCGUGAUCACAGCCUACUACCUCGUCGCCGUGCUCUGCUUCUGCGUCAGGAAGCUGCAGCUCCAGCGGCUCGACGACCACCCGGCGGCGGCCCCCGAGCAGCGGCGGUCCAUGCUCGCCGUGUGGGCGGUCUCUGUGCUUUUCCUCGCUACCUGCUUCGCGUGGGCGGUGCACCGGACGCGCCGUAGCCCGCGCGAUCUAGCGUUAGUGGUCACGACCUACUGGUUCGUCGCCGUGCUCUGCUGCUGUGUCUGGAAGCUCCAGCUCCUGCGGCUCGACGACGACCCGUCGUUGGCCCCCGAGCGGCGCCGGGCCAGGCUUGUCGGGUGGGCGGUCUCGGUGCUCUUCGUCGCCGCCUGCUUCGCGUGGGCUGUGUACCGCACGCACCGCAGGCCGCGCGCCCUGGCGUUCGUGAUCGCCACCUACUACCUCAUCGCCGUGCUCUACUGCUGCCUCAGGAAGCUCGAGCUCCUGCGGCUUGAGGACGACCCGGCCGCGGGGCCCGAGCGGCGGCGGGCCAGGCUCGCUGCCAUGGCGGUCUCGGUGGCGCAGGGCAACACGGUUGCGCUGAGUGCCGCGGACAGGAUGCCGAACCUGGCGCUGAAGCUAGUCGUGUUUGGGCUCACCGCCAUGGCGAUGGGCCUCCUGUACUUCUUCAUUUUCAGCCGCAUCGAUGGGGAGUACGGGCGUGCUCAAUCGGCCGCCGCCCCCCGGGCGGAGAGGCCUUUGCACGAGCAAUCCCCGGAGCAGAGCGCCUAG
rnacentral:rRNA from 1 species